UGCAGGCGCCACCGGAGGAGCGCUCAGAACCCGGAGGGACUAGGCGGGGCGCUGAAACCACCCGCAACGAACUUUGACGAAAGACUUUUGCAGCUGAAAUCCGCAAAUGCCUUUAGUAUCCUCCCUGAGGCGAGCAAGAGACAAAAAUGACUUUAGAGCGACCCCGACCCUAUUUUACCACCCACAGACACACAAGAACGAACAACACAGCGAAAGUACAAAACCUAAUCCCUGCUCUUUAUGAAAUAGGCAUUUAAGAACAUAAAGAAGCAGAGCUCAAGGGGGAGAAAAUAUUUGCAAAACAAUGAAGUGAAAUGAUCUCCUGGGAAAGGUAGGAAGCAGGAGAAAGGCGGAGUGAAACCUCAGGGAGUUUCGCCGCGCUUCGGCUCCACCCGGGAGACCAAAGCCCUGGACCGCUCAGCUGGAGGCUCAGACGUUUCCCCCGCGCGGUGAACAGCAGUGUGCUCUGCAUUCCGUCGCCAAGUGCCGGUCCCAGAGGCGGUGGCUGAGGGCCCCACGUUCCUUCAUUGCAUCCUGGCUCUGCUUCAGCUGCGGGACUGUCCCUGGACCGCGCGGGUCGACCCUCACUCUCUUUGCUAUGACAUCACCAUCAUCCCUAAGUGCAGACCUGGACCACGGUGGUGUUCAGUUCAAGGCCAGAACCCCUCACCCUGCAGGCCAGGAUGUCUUGUGAGCAGAAAGCCGAAGGACACAGCAGUGGAUCUUGGCAGUUCGGUUUCAAUGGACAGAUCUUCCUCCUCUUUGACUCAGAGAUC